GGCUGAGCUUAUUGUUUGUUUGAUUAACUUUCUUUGAAGAUCAGCAAAGCCACAGGCUUGGGGGGGGUAGUCAGUGUGAAGAGAGAAAUGGGAGCUGAAAGUAAGCAUGUUGAGUGGUUUUGCUGGUCUCACACAUGAAUGUGAACCUGGAAGAUGAGAUCAAGAGAAGAACUGGGUGUGGCUGUCAUUUGAAAAGCAACAGCCAUAUUUGCUUGGGCAUACUUUCCUGCCAUGAUGGACUCUACCCUCUGAAAUCAAUAGUCAAAACAAGCCUUCUGACCUUGCAGUGUUUCUGCCAGGUAUUCUGUCACAGUGGUGAGAAAACAAAGCACUCUGAUCUCAUACGGAAUUUGAGUGAAUACCCACUGCAAUCACCCACUGGGCAUCCAUGAGCACCUUCUAUAUGAGAGCCCUGGAAGCCAAGGAGAAGGCCUGUUGCUCGUGUUCCUAAGGAGCCAGCUCCUAUGCCAAGGAGGAUCUGACUUUUUGAACACAAUGACAGGUUCACAGUUAUAUGUGAGUAGAGCAUCCCUGAGAAGCCCAGCACUCACCCUACCCAGAGCAGUACAAAUCAAACCCGUGAUCCUAGAAGCUGACUAUAAUCCAUACUAAGUCCCUGAACCCACAGAAGAGUACAGAAAAAUUAGAUGAGUGUGUUCCAAGCAUUGUGUCAUCAUUACUGGAUAAACGAAGUAAAUACAGUAGUACUCCUUCUUCAUAUGUUUUAGGUUGAGGUAAGGACAUGAAUACAUGGUUUAAACCAUCUGGGGUUUUGUUGUUGUUUUGUUUUUACAAUGAACUACAGAAAUAGUGCCUUCAAGAAAGUGGUCUUUGAAAGGAGAUCCAUUGAGUUUAAAAGGGAGAAUUCUUGGAAGAGGUGAGCUUAAACCUAGAUAUUUAACUGACAUGCACAGAGACAGGUCUUCAGCCAAACCUCCCGUGGCUGCAUUUACCCAUCCAUAGAAUGGACAGAACCACACAGAAGUCGCAUAGGAAUGACAUGUGAGAACAUGGGUGUGGCACCCAGGCAUGUAGGAAGUACCAAUGGCUAUCAGAUUCAUAUCAAGUUUAUUUUUAGAGAUGCUGAUGAAAAUAAAAGAACACUUUCCAGCUUUCCAUUUUCCAUAUUGAAGACAAGUUAUCUUUGACAUAAAAAAAAUAAUACCAAGUUUAAUGAUUUGUUCAUACAGUUCCCAUCCUAAAUUUAUAAUAGAUUUGGGUGGCUGCAUGGCAGAAGAUCAAAUGAGGGUUUUCCUUUCACAAAGAAAGUGUUAUUUGAGGCAGAUAUUUGUUAAUUAAAUCCAGUGAAGUGUGAUAGAUAGCAGUAAUAAGAUGCCAUGUUGACCAACAAGUCAUCUCCCAAAGGAGUGGCUACAGUGAAGUCUAUUCUUCACUGUCCUCAGAGCUUGAACAUCAGUAUUACAGCUCCAUUCAGUCACAGCCCCAACCUAGGCAGGUCCUGAUAGCAUCAGUGGCUGGAAACAUGGAAGGGACACAUUGUUUAGAGUUGUCCUCCAAGCAAUAUGUGAAGCUUUAUUGCAACCACAGGGCUUAGCCUGUCAGAGACAGAUAGAGAACUCAGCUUCCUGUUUUAGAGUGUAAAAAACACACCCAGACUUCAGGACCUUUCUGAGCCCAAAUGGAUCAUCUCUGCAGUGCUCAGUGCUAAAUGCAUCCUUCAAGUACCUGCUUUCUAGGGGAAUGCUAGGAAGCCCAGAUUUCUCAGUUCCUCUGAGAAAAUAUGGAUGUGAGAAAUGGUGGGGGUUCUGAUUUCCAUCUCUAGUCAUCAAGGUUCAGAUUCCAUUAUGGCUUCAAUUUAACAUCCCCACCCCCUAAAGCUAGCACCUGCUACUUGAGAUUGGGCCUUAUUUGGAAAUAGGGUCUUUAGGGAGGGGGUAGUGAAAUUAUAACAAGUAGAUUAGGACAAAUCCUAAUCCAGUAUGAUUGAUCUUCUUAUAAAAAGUGAAAUUUGGGCAUAAUAAAACAUGUACUUAGAGGAGAAAUGACAGGAAAUGACUCAGGGACAAGGUGG
rnacentral:lncRNA from 1 species